AUUGAACGCUGGCGGCAUGCCUUACACAUGCAAGUCGAACGGUAACAGGUCUUCGGAUGCUGACGAGUGGCGAACGGGUGAGUAAUACAUCGGAACGUGCCUAGUAGUGGGGGAUAACUACUCGAAAGAGUGGCUAAUACCGCAUGAGAUCUACGGAUGAAAGCAGGGGAUCGCAAGACCUUGUGCUACUAGAGCGGCCGAUGGCAGAUUAGGUAGUUGGUGGGAUAAAAGCUUACCAAGCCGACGAUCUGUAGCUGGUCUGUGAGGACGAUCAGCCACACUGGGACUGAGACACGGCCCAGACUCCUACGGGAAGCAGCAGUGGGGAAUUUUGGACAAUGGGCGCAAGCCUGAUCCAGCAAUGCCGCGUGCAGGAUGAAGGCCUUCGGGUUGUAAACUGCUUUUGUACGGAACGAAAAGCCCCGGGUUAAUACCCUGGGGUCAUGACGGUACCGUAAGAAUAAGCACCGGCUAACUACGUGCCAGCCGCCGCAGUAA
rnacentral:rRNA from 1 species